CCUACGGGAGGCAGCAGUCGAGAAUCAUGCACAAUGGGGGAAACCCUGAUGGAGCGACGCCGCGUGGGGGAAUGAAGGUCUGCGGAUUGUAAACCCCUGUCAUGUGGGAGCAAAUUAAAAAGAUAGUACCACAAGAGGAAGAGACGGCUAACUCUGUGCCAGCAGCCGCGGUAAUACAGAGGUCUCAAGCGUUGUUCGGAAUCACUGGGCGUAAAGCGUGCGUAGGCGGUUUCGUAAGUCGUGUGUGAAAGGCGCGGGCUCAACCCGCGGACGGCACAUGAUACUGCGAGACUAGAGUAAUGGAGGGGGAACCGGAAUUCUCGGUGUAGCCGUGAAAUGCGUAGAUAUCGAGAGGAACACUCGUGGCGAAGGCGGGUUCCUGGACAUUAACUGACGCUGAGGCACGAAGGCCAGGGGAGCGAACGGGAUUAGAUACCCCAGUAGUC
rnacentral:rRNA from 1 species